rnacentral:rRNA from 1 species
UACAGAGGGUGCAAGCGUUAAUCGGAGUUACUGGGCGUAAAGGGCGCGUAGGCGGCAUAUUAAGUCAGCUGUGAAAUCUCCGAUCUUAACUCGGAACUGUCAGCUGAUACUUAUGUGCUAGAGUGCAGAAGGGGCAAUCGGAAUUCUUGGUGUAGCAGUGAAAUGCGUAGAUAUCAAGCGGAACACCGGUGGCGAAGGCGGCCUUCUGGACAGUGACUGACGCUGAGACGCGAAAGCGUGGGGAGCAAACAGG